AAACACUGAGUGGUUUAUAUUUUUGGCCGGGUUGUGCUUCUGAGUUAAUAUGCAUUGUGAGUGCCAGUUAAGCAAAGUUUUCCCAAGAAUUUACCAUUGUUUGUGGUUUAGAGGUCGCUCAUAAUGGCUUAAAGAGUCUACCUGGAGUUUUUAUCUUGCAUUUUUUGCUUUUCCUACAGAAUACUACUAUUUUUUCUUAAUUAAUUAAAUAUCUUUCUUUAGGAACGUACAGAGUGUACCAUGAACAAUUCUGACUUAUGAUUUAAUCUAUGUGUGACUACAUUUUAAAUAAAUUGGGGAAGGAUUGAACAAUGAAGUGGAGCCCAUCAAUAUUGGUACUGAAAAUGAGACAGAUCCCUGAAAAUGGAAAGGAAUUCCCUAGAUAUCCCAGUUUAUUCCCACACCCUAACACUGCAGAGGAGUCCCCGAAAUACGAAACAUUUCAGCCUCUCCUCAUUUCUUUCAAGGGUGGAUUGAAAGAUACCAGCUUCAGCAGGUCCUUGUAUUGAAGACAGCAUAACCCCCAAGAGGAAAGGAGCUUGGAGCCCUGAAUCAGAGUAGAAGACCAGCUGAACACCAGCCUUGGACAGUUGUGUGAAUGAAAAACAAAUUUUGAGAUUUGUGUGGUUUAUGUAUUAGUUACUAUUAUUAUUAAAGUUUUUCACUGCUUUACUCUCAGUUGUUGGUACUAAUGAUUGCAGUGGCAUGUGACACACUGAUCUCUAGGGACCGUUGGAAGUAUGAAUCAAUGUGCUCCUAUAGUAGGAAGAGAAUCAAUUGAUUUGCACUUAAGGUUGGGGAUCUGGAAAAAGGUAGGUGGCAUAUAUUAGAAUUAGAUCAAAAGUUUCUAAUCUUUUCCUUACGUGAUAUACAGG
rnacentral:lncRNA from 1 species